UGCCGAUCACUGGGGCACAUGGCCUCCACCAUGCUACGCGUGCUGGUGUUGUUGCUGGUCGUGGCUGGCAGUCUGCUUCUAGCGUGAGUGUGCUGAUAACUUUUCCCUGCAGCUGGAGUAGAAGGUACCGGGAUAUCCCUCAUCGGCAGGCGGGGGGGAGAUGAAAGGAGAGACUUCAUGAGUUGUGUAUAACGGCAUGUUGAGGGAUCGGCCGCGUCCCCCGCGUUUGUAAUGAGUAGGCCUCGUGUAGGCCGCAAGUCAGCUCCCAAAUUAAGCUGCCGAUUUCGGUCAAAAUCAC